GGUGUUCUGCUCUUCUCGACAGGAAAUACAGACAUUCCCGGGGCCUUAUUGAUUCCUAAGGGAGCUGUCCCUGAGAAAGCCCGUGGGCUUUUUCAUAUGGCGCCCACCUACUUGUGUAGGUUCCCGGAAUCAGACUUUUCCAUCGGUCGCUGCGGUUCACCA
rnacentral:other from 20 species